rnacentral:rRNA from 1 species
UACGGGGGGGGCAAGCGUUGUUCGGAAUUACUGGGCGUAAAGGGCUCGUAGGCGGCCAACUAAGUCAGACGUGAAAUCCCUCGGCUUAACCGGGGAACUGCGUCUGAUACUGGAUGGCUAGAGGUUGGGAGAGGGAUGCGGAAUUCCAGGUGUAGCGGUGAAAUGCGUAGAUAUCAGGAGGAACACCGGUGGCGAAGGCGGGUCUCUGGGCCGAUACUGACGCUGAGACGCGAAAGCGUGGGGAGCGAACCGG